AGUUUUGCCAGGAGUACAAAUAAAGGCGGCAAUGUAAGCAUCCCCACAGAGUGGCUCUGUCUUUCCCGUGCCAGCCACUUCUUCAUGAAAGAGCCUGUGUUUCCCGGAGUGCAAACCUAGCGGCCUGGGCCCUCAGUCACCUGAAGGAGGGCAGGGCCACAAUCGGCCACUGUUCUCCGCGGUUCUGAGAGCCUGAGCGGUCAGCCGGGGCGCGCUGGGCCCAGAGCACUACAGGACCAUCUCAGCACAGCUCCUGGCAAGUGACAAGCCACUACCCUUUAACACAGAUCUCAGCGGGGGCCCUGCCACCGUUGAAAGCUUCUUUAAAGAAAAUUAAAAACAAAACAUUUUCUUAGGCUGGGGGUGUAUUCUCAGUGGUAGAAUGCAUCCUUAGCAGUUCAAGAGCCUGGGUUCAAUCCCCAGCACCCAAACCAACAAAAUCCAUUUUCCAGUUACAAGAGAGGUAUGAAGUAAAAGGAAAAAAACCAUACACAGAUCAUUUCAAGAAAAAAAAAAAAAAGAAAUUCACUUGAAUCUCAGGUGUUUUCAAGAAGAAAGGAAAGUCACCGGUAUCUCAAGUGUGGAUAUUUUGGUAUAAAUGCUUCAAGGCUUUUUCUGCAUAGGUCUGAACGCAGCUAUUUGUCUCUCUGAAGCUUUAACAGGAAGAUAUGAUGACUGGAAUGCUAGCUGCAAUCUUGGACUAUGAAAAUACACCAAGGGUUGGAGGAACCAUGUGCUAGAUGGAACUUAAUCUCAAAAGGCUUUAUGGACAUUGACCUUAAAGAGCUCACCUCUGUACUUCAAUGUGAAAGAGAAAUAAAUUUAUUUUGUUUAGCUAUUGCUUACCUAGGUUUUGAUUACUUGGAAUGACACUGAAUUUUAACAUGAUAUAGCAGUGUCUCCCACCAAUUUAACACUGUAUUUCAAAAAGCAAAUGAUAAAUGAUAAACUGGGGAGAUAUUACAAUGAACCUUUUUUACAGCAAAAUUUUCGUUUUUAAUAAAUCUUUAAUUGGAUUAUGAGGAGAUUCUUAA